AAACUUUCAACAACGGAUCUCUUGGUUCUGGCAUCGAUGAAGAACGCAGCGAAAUGCGAUAAGUAAUGUGAAUUGCAGAAUUCAGUGAAUCAUCGAAUCUUUGAACGCACAUUGCGCCCGCCAGCAUUCUGGCGGGCAUGCCUGUUCGAGCGUCAUUUCAACCCUCGACUUCCCUUUGGGGAAAUCGGCGUUGGGGAACGGCAGCAUACCGCCGGCCCCGAAAUGGAGUGGCGGCCCGUCCGCGGCGACCUCUGCGUAGUAAUCCAACUCGCACCGGAACCCCGACGUGGCCACGCCGUAAAACACCCAACUUCUGAAC
rnacentral:rRNA from 1 species